rnacentral:rRNA from 1 species
AUUGAACGCUGGCGGCAGGCUUAACACAUGCAAGUCGAGCGGAGACUUCGGUCUUAGCGGCGAACGGGUGAGGAAUGCCUGGGAAUCUGCCUAUUAGUGGGGGAUAACGUUCCGAAAGGAACGCUAAUACCGCAUACGUCCUACGGGAGAAAGCAGGGGACCUUCGGGCCUUGCGCUAAUAGAUGAGCCCAGGUCGGAUUAGCUAGUUGGUGGGGUAAAGGCUCACCAAGGCGACGAUCCGUAGCUGGUCUGAGAGGAUGAUCAGCCACACUGGAACGGGGACACGGUCCAGACUCCUACGGGAGGCAGCAGUGGGGAAGAUUGGACAAGGGGCGAAAGCCUGAUCCAGCCAUGCCGCGUGGGUGAAGAAGGCCUUCGGGUUGUAAAGCACUUUAAGCGGGGAGGAAGUACUUGGGGCUAAUAUCCCUGAGUGUUGACGUUACCCGCAGAAUAAGCACCGGCUAACUCUGUGCCAGCAGCCGCCGUAACAC